GACCUCAGCCGGGCCCACAGUCCGCCUAUAAUAGAGCACACAAAAGGACAAGGAGCACAGUGGAGAGGGGGAUUGGCCAGUGGAAGCGGAGAUUUCAUGUGCUCCAUGGUGAAAUCAGAGUCAGCCCUCCUGCAUAUGUGUGUAGAAUAAUACAGGUGUGUGCUAUUUUGCACAACAUCUGCAAAGACAGACGCCUCCCUGUACCCGAGGAAGGAGAGGACGAGGGUGAUGGUGCAGUUUUCCAUGAGGACCCACCUGUCCCACUACCACCUGUACCUGGACGAGUUCGGGAAGGUCUGCUCUACAGGGAUGAGUUUGUCAACCUUCACUUCAUUGACAGACCUCAACCUCAGCCUCGUGCAGCUGUGUGAUGCUUCCCGACCCAUCAACAGGUUAAUUCCACACCUACUUCCAACUCUGCAGCCUGCAGUUCAAGUUCCCUCUUCAGGCGGAUGAACUGCAGCUCCUCCUCAUCCACCAACAUGGUGCAGGUCCCAACUGGUGUACUGGAGGAAGCUGCAGCGGCAGGAACUACUGGUGGUGGUGUGGUGGUGGUUUGAGGUGUGUCUGUGCUGGGUUGGGGAGGGACAGGUGGUGUGACAUCCACCUGAAGACUCCUGGCAAAAAUACAUCCAUCAGUACCUGCACUCAUAAUUUUCUUGUGUUAUUUGACUUACAUCCCCAUUUAUGGAAACAAUACAGUUUAGGUUGAAAAGCCUUUGCAGGAAAGGAGUGUGUUCCAGAGGUCAUUUCUUUGGUGUUCUGCUGUUCAGUACGUAAUGCCUACGUCGUUAAGGACAACUAGCAUGGUUCAUGAGUAAGCAGACCUGACCGAGGUCAGACGUGGGUCACGGCGCUCCGAAUGGAGUAGCCCGGGGCCAGCUUGUUGGCCUCUCCCCUGCCCCUCCAUCCCCCUCUCCCUUUUCAUCAAAAACCCAACAUCGUAAGAAACUAUUGUGACAUCAAGCUUAAUCAUGGUGACAGACAGUGAGUGCUAUGUGUUUGUGGUCCCGUGAAGACACUGAAGUUUAGAAAUGGUCAGUGUGACAUCGACACGGCCUUACUAUCCAGCCGACGUCCCAGGUGCCCCGAGGUACACCAGCCCGACCAUCAUGCUGCUGGGAGAACUCUGUUCAGCCGCCUCUACCUGCACCCCUGCCAUCAGCGGCGACCUGAC